UCUCGGAGCCCGGCGGAACCUCUUCCACCUUUCCCUUCACCCUCUAAUCGGCCCUUUUCUCUCGGAUAUCCCCUUCCCAAGUCCGUUCGAGAUCAAACCAUCACAUUCCACCGCGUCCCCAACAAUGAAAAAGGUGGGGAGGAUUCCAGAGAAGUCAACACAGAAGUGCGACUUUUCAGAUGCUGGUGUGAACCGAGCAUAGACGCCGCAACUUGGAAAGCUUGACAAUAUAGCGGGUUAUGGCCGGUAUUUAAACACAUAUAACCCAGAUGAGUCCAAAUGUGGGGCAGCAUGUCGUGUGGGGAAACAUGCGCUUAUCCUAAGACAUCCAGCUCUUACAGCAUUGUGUGCAUCCGCUGGUCGGCGUCUCUGCGUGCAUUGUUGCUCUCAAGCUACUCUCUUAUUAAGCAGAAAAAAAGGAUGAUUCUGGAGUUACAACAUUUUAAAUAGGAAUCUUGUUAUUUUUUUUGUACAUUGUUAAAUAUGCUUCACACCAGUGAUGUUUUAAAAGUUAAAAAAAUAUUAGGUAUCAUUGUUUGCAGUGUUAUUAGUUGGUAAGAAGAAUUUGCUAAAUCUAAUUUUUUAUGGGGUUCUGCAUCCAUCCUCUUGGGAAGAUUCUUGUGUCCUACACAGGAGAGAAAGAACAGGUAGAAUUGGCUGACAAAUUUGGAGAGACACAAAAAAAACUUCCCUAAAAGGAUUAUGAAGAAUUUUGAGGGAAAUAUAUAAUAUUUUUUUCACAGUUGAAUUGCUACUCUGUAUUAGCUAUAAAAUAAGUAUCAUAAAGACAAACAUGAGAUUUUUCACCAUAGUGCCCUCUACAGUAUUGGCCAAAGUGGAGAACCUCAAACAUUUGUCAUAAAAUGCUAGCUCUCCAUACUUAAGGCCAUAACUGAGUCACUGCAAUGUAAUGAAUAUGGUGUUUAAGAAUAAAGCGGUAAAGACGUUUAAGAACAGAGUACAGAAAUCUAAGACAGCCUGAAUUUGGGAGAUCACUGCCACAUCUCCCCCGCUGUAAAAUGAGUACAAAAAUACUUCUAGGAUCUUAUGGUCACGUAUCAGGGACACAUUAUCGAGGCGGUGGGUCGGACGUGUUCCAACAAGCCCCUUUUUCCACACUUUGGUCUGAAAUGGGACUUGAACCAGCAAACAUCCCCAAGAUCCUAAGCGCUUAGGUUCUUAGCGUUUGUAGUUUCAUUUGGAACUUCGCCAAAAGUCUCAGGGCAGAGAAUAUCAAACAAGCUUUGAUCGACUAAAAAUCAAAAACACAACAUCCCCUUGUCAUGUCUCAUCUUAUUUAGAAGUACAGAUGUCCCUGCCUGUAGAGCCCCCGCCCCACCCUCCUUAUGCUCAAUUUCUCACUGUGGGGUGACAUUCCUCAAACUCAGCUUCUGGCAGGCAGUAAAUCUCCAUGAGAGAGAUCUUACACUGGCACGCUGUUCCUGGUGAUAUGUUUGGACAGAAGCAAUACCACAGCUUCAUAAGGGCAACCAUGUUUGUCACCGAUGUCACCGAGGGUGGAGUGUCGAAGGAGCAAAAAAAAAAAAGUGUCAACGGGAUAUGGAGCAUCCUGCACAUAUGGCCCCCACCCUUCCUGUCUCUUAGGCUCGAAUGGGUCCCAAACCGCCGGUCCGCGUACCAGUACCGGUCCACAGGGCAUUUGGUACCGGGCCGCACAGAAAGAACGUGCAUUCAUUCCGUUUUAUUUAUUUCGGAAUACGAAAGAUGUUUUAUUUUGAAAAAUUACCGGAUUCUCCGUUACAUCCGUCUUUGUCACACUUGACACACGUCAAGCCACGCUUCUGCGUCACGUGACCGAUUACGCUAAAAACACUGAGUUAAAAAAACUGCUGGAGCUCGUAAAUGACCGCGAGCUUAAAAGUACGUUCGAGUCAACUGAAUUAAAGUUAUGGCUGAAUAUUCUGAGAUCGCCACAAUAGCACUGAUGCUAUUUCAGACAUGCUACCUAUGUGAGGCGGGGUUUUCUGCAGCAACGGCGACUAAAAUAA